UUUUUGUAAUAUUAAAAGGAAAACAAAAUUAAACAUGUUUUAUGUGAACAUUAAACUCCAUACAAUUAAUGCUUUACAUAGGAACAAUAAAACCAUUCCAAGGAGUGACAAAUAUUAUAUGAACAUAUAGGUUGCGUGUCUCAUGAAUCUUUGUGAAUGACCAUAUUUACAAAACAUUGUGUAUACAUGUAGUACCAUUGAUUAUUCUGUUGCUUUGAAAUUGAUAUUUUAUUUAUAUAUAUGAUUCAACGAUACAUUCCUUGCAUUAGCAUUUAUUCGAUGAUAUUAGAGAGUGAAGAUGGGCUUUAGAAUUAUUCUAUUAUUUGUGCAACUCUAAAGCGCACGUGCCCCUUUUUCAUUAAUGGCAUUAAAUGCAAACAGAAUCUCACACGUGAAAUUGCAGUAAGUCAAAAUAAUCGGUUCUUGAAUAAACUUUAGAGCUGAAUGGCUGUUUUAUUAGAAUUUUAUAUGCCACUGAAGUUUUUACGACAGAAAAUGAACUUGCAAGGGUUGUGCAAAACUAUCAUUGUGUCAUCUAUAGGGAAACAAAAUCAUUGAACUACAUUUUUUGGUUCUCAGGUUUUGAGCAUACGCCCCUAGCCUUGGCUAAACUUGAGUUUGGAUACUUUGUUAAUUCCUUUCUUUUUGUUUAUACGUACCAUUGAAAGCGACCAGUUUUACUUGACAAAUCAAAACUGGCCCUGAAUCAUUUACUGUGCAGACAAUCAAUGCUUCAAUGGUGAUGAUUUUUGUUUCUAUAUGUGGCAGCUUCAAUAUAAUACACCAAAUAUGUACAUGUAUAUCAUUUCACGGCUACACACUGUAACUGAAUGACCUGAAUCUAUUGUAAAGUCAAAUUUGAGUGGCCUGUUGUUAAAUGAUUUUUAUGGUUAAAUUAAUAUGAGGGAAACGAGAAUUUGAAUAUGUUUUUAUUUUGAAUGCGCAUAAAAUUUAUAUAAAUGAAGUUGUAUUAAAAAGGUGCUUU
rnacentral:misc_RNA from 1 species